CUUUCCGCUCGAGUUGGUGGAUAGCGUGGUGGGCGUCUAUAGCCGACCUUCAGCCGGGAGGAAAUCAAGUCUGAGAUGUUCGGCCGCCUCCUGGUGAAAUCCCAAGUUUCCUAGAUCAUCUGUAAAAUAUCACAGGCAUGGAGGAUUGGCAGUAGUCAUUCUUCACACAUCUACAUGGAGGCUGAGGAUGAUGUGAAGUCAGUAUUAUAAAGGACAUAUGCACGGCAGAGUUUGCACAAGGUUUGAAGAUGCCCAGAACAAUAAAGUGUGGGG